rnacentral:rRNA from 1 species
UACGUAGGGUGCAAGCGUUGUCCGGAAUUAUUGGGCGUAAAGAGCUCGUAGGCGGUUCGUCGCGUCGGCUGUGAAAACCUGCAGCUUAACUGUGGGCUUGCGGUCGAUACGGGCAUCACUGGAGUUCGGCAGGGGAGACUGGAAUUCCUGGUGUAGCGGUGAAAUGCGCAGAUAUCAGGAGGAACACCGGUGGCGAAGGCGGGUCUCUGGGCCGAUACUGACGCUGAGGAGCGAAAGCGUGGGGAGCGAACAGG